rnacentral:tRNA from 1 species
AUUUAAAUAGCUUAAAAUUAAAGUUUAAUAAUGAAAAUAUUAAGAUGAUUUUUAAAUCUUUAAAUA